GACGAACGCUGGCGGCGUGCUUAACACAUGCAAGUCGAACGGAAAGGCGCUGCUUUUGUGGGGUGCUCGAGUGGCGAACGGGUGAGUAACACGUGAGUAACCUGCCCUUGACUUUGGGAUAACGUCAGGAAACUGGGGCUAAUACCGGAUAGGAGCUCCUGCUGCAUGGUGGGGGUUGGAAAGUUUCGGCGGUUGGGGAUGGAUUCGCGGGUAAUCAGCUUGUUGGUGGGGUAGUGGCUUACCAAGGCUUUGACGGGUAGCCGGCCUGAGAGGGUGACCGGCCACAUUGGGACUGAGAUACGGCCCAGACUCCUACGGGAGGCAGCAGGGGGGAAUAUUGCACAGUGGGCGGAAGCGUGAUGCAGCGACGCCGCGUGCGGGAUGACGGCCUUCGGGUUGUGAACCGCUUUCGCCUGUGACGAAGCGUGAGUGACGGUAAUGGGUAAAGAAGCACCGGCUAACUACGUG
rnacentral:rRNA from 1 species